CCACAAACUUCACCCACAGCAACCAUGACUUUGGUCUCCAUCUUCAUCUGGACUCUGAUCCUCUGGACUCAAGGAUCCAAUGGCCAGGUCACUGUGACUCAGGUUCCUGAAUUGAAAAAUCUUUUACCAGGAGACACAGCUACCAUCAUAUGUAGAGCCAGCCGUACGGUGGAAACCUGCUCAAGUAGUCAUUGUUUAUCCUGGUAUCUGCAGAAACCUGGAGAAGCUCCUAAACUCCUGAUUAAAUAUGCUAAUACGUUAGUGUCAGGUAUUUCAGCUCGUUUCAGUGGCAGUGGAUCUGGAUCUGACUUUACUCUGACCAUCAGUAAUUUCCAGACUGAAGAUGGAGGAGAUUAUUACUGUCAGAGUCGCCAUUAUAUCAGUGGUAGCUACGUGUUCCCACAGUGUUUUGUAGGUGUACAAAAACCCCCCUCAGUCCAGCUGCACAGAGACUGCACUGCUGCAGCUGGACUCUACUGCAGGUGCUGAGGGGGAGGAUGGACACACACAAUAACACAUUCUGUGGAAAUCAGGACUUUAGAUGGAGUUUGUUCUUCUUUUCAUUAGCCUGAAAAUGCUUUGUGAU